CGCGCAGCUGGUCAGAGCGCACGACUCAUAAUCGUGAGGUCGCGGGUUCAAGCCCCGC
rnacentral:tRNA from 1 species